CCCUUAGAUGUUCUGGGCCGCACGCGCGCUACACUGACGGAUUCAACGAGCUUACAACCUUGGCCGAAAGGUCUGGGUAAUCUCCAAAAUCCGUCGUGAUGGGGAUAGAUUAUUGCAAUUAUUAAUCCUCAACGAGGAAUGCCUAGUAAGCGCAAGUCAUCAGCUUGCGUUGAUUACGUCCCUGCCCUUUGUACACACCGCCCGUCGCUCCUACCGAUUGAAUGGUCCGGUGAAGCGUUUGGACUAUGGUUUUCUGAUGGUCCGCCGUUGGAUUACCGUGGGAAGUUCGUUAAACCUUAUCAUUUAGAGGAAGGAGAAGUCGUAACA
rnacentral:rRNA from 1 species